rnacentral:rRNA from 1 species
CGGCGUGCUUAACACAUGCAAGUCGAGCGAUGAAUCCCGUUCGGGAUGGAUUAGCGGCGGACGGGUGAGUAACACGUGGGUAACCUGCCUCAUAGAGGGGAAUAGCCUUUCGAAAGGAAGAUUUAAUACCGCAUAAGAUUGUAGUUUCGCAUGAAACAGCAAUUAAAGGAGUAAUCCGCUAUGAGAUGGACCCGCGUCGCAUUAGCUAGUUGGUGAGGUAACGGCUCACCAAGGCGACGAUGCGUAGCCGACCUGAGAGGGUGAUCGGCCACAUUGGGACUGAGACACGGCCCAGACUCCUACGGGAGGCAGCAGUGGGGAAUAUUGCACAAUGGGGGAAACCCUGAUGCAAGCAACGCCGCGUGAGUGAUGACGGUCUUCGGAUUGUAAAGCUCUGUCUUUAGGGACGAUAAUGACGGUACCUAAGGAGGAAGCCACGGCUAACUACGUGCCAGCAGCCGC